rnacentral:ncRNA from 1 species
UUUGGUCCUGACCUUGUAGUCAAUUAUUACUUAAUAUACACAUGCAAGUAUCCGCUCCCCUGUGAAAACGCCCUUCAACCCCCAUUAGGGACAAGGAGCCGGUAUCAGGCACUAUAUUUGCCCAAGACACCUAGCUUUGCCACACCCACAAGGGAUUUCAGCAGUGAUUAACAUUGAAUAUUAGCGCAAGCUUGAUUCAGUUAAAGUAAAAUAGAGCCGGCCAAUCUGGUGCCAGCCGCCGCGGUUACACCAUGUGGCUCAAAUUGACCCCUUCCGGCGUAAAGCGUGAUUAAAGUUAUUUUAUAAUAGAGUUAAAUUAAGACUAAGCUGUGACACGCCUGUUUUUAAGAAAUUCUCAAACGAAAGUUACUCUAAUUUAACCAACUUGAAUUCACGACAGCUGGGAAACAAACUGGGAUUAGAUACCCCACUAUGCCCAGCCGUAAACUUUUACUUACACCUCAAUCGCCAGGGAACUACGAGCUAAGCUUAAAACCCAAAGGACUUGACGGUACCCCAUAUCCCCCUAGAGGAGCCUGUCCUAUAAUCGAUAAUCCACGUUUAACCUCACCAUUUUUAGUUAAUCAGCCUGUAUACCUCCGUCGUCAGCUUACCACGUGAGCGCUUAUUAGUGAGCUCAAUGCUUUUCACCAAUACGUCAGGUCAAGGUGCAGUAAAUGAAAUGGAAAGAGAUGGGCUACACUUUCUAAUUUAGAAAAUACGAAAAACUACCUAUGAAACCUAGUUGGAAGGCGGAUUUAGCAGUAAAAAGGAAUCAGAACAUCCAUUUUAAUUUGGCACUGGGGUGUGUACACACCGCCCGUCACCCUCUUCAAAAUUUUAACCAAGUAUUAAACAAACUAAUAUGUAACAGAAGAGGCAAGUCGUAACAUGGUAAGUAUACCGGAAGGUGUGCUUGGAAA